rnacentral:rRNA from 1 species
UACAGAGGUCUCAAGCGUUGUUCGGAUUCAUUGGGCGUAAAGGGUGCGUAGGCGGCGCGGUAAGUCGGGUGUGAAAUCUCGGAGCUUAACUCCGAAACUGCAUUCGAUACUGCCGUGCUUGAGGACUGGAGAGGAGACUGGAAUUUACGGUGUAGCGGUGAAAUGCGUAGAUAUCGUAAGGAAGACCAGUGGCGAAAGGCGGGGUCUCUGGACAGUUCCUGACGUGAGGCACGAAGGCCAGGGGGAGCAAAACGGG